rnacentral:rRNA from 1 species
AACAAACGCUGGCGGCGUGCCUAAUACAUGCAAGUCGAACGGGGAAAGCUUUCGGGUGAGUACUAGUGGCGCACGGGUGAGUAACGCGUGGAUAAUCUGCCUUGAAGAGGGGGAUAACCAGUCGAAAGAUUGGCUAAUACCGCAUAAGACCACAGGAACUGAGGCUCUAGAGGUCAAAGGUUUUUCGCUUCAAGAUGAGUCCGCGUAAGAUUAGCUAGUUGGUGAGGUAACGGCGCACCAAGGCGACGAUCUUUAACUGGUCUGAGAGGAUGAUCAGUCACACUGGAACUGAGACACGGGCCGGACUCCUACGGGAGGCAGCAGUAGGGAAUAUUGCACAAUGGAGGAAACUCUGAUGCGGCGACGCCGCGUGAGUGAUGAAGGCCUUCGGGUCGUAAAGCUCUGUCGCAGGGGAAUAACACAAUGAAGUUACCCUGUAAGAAAGGAUCGGCUAACUGCGUGCCAGCCGCCGCGGUAAAAC